UUACUGCAACCAUCUAUUUUUUGUUUUGUUUUAAUGGCUCUCGAAUUAUAUACUAGAGACAUUUAUGUGUGUUUUAUGAGGCAUCUCCCAAGCCAAAUUGCAACUCUGCUUUUUUCAGUGAGCGCUAAGGAGGAGAAUCUGCAAGUCUUACAGUCCCUGCAAACCGAGAGAGCAACCUUCAUAACAAUUAUGCCAUUAGAAGAGCUAAACAGCUCCAGUGACAACGGUGAAAAAAUUUCCACUGAAAGCCCUACUCUCCUGGCUAUAGCUGUAAUCAGUUCUCCAGGGACAGAUUUGUUCCAUACGCCACAUCAGAUGCAGCACUCAAGUACAGUAAAUGCAACCACAACCACCCAUUAAGAUGCAAUUACCUCAAAUGUGCUGAGAUUUAUCUUAGCUUAUGGUACAGGUUCACGUUCAACAGGUGAGGAUAGCAUUGCUGCAAAACUGUUUCAUUCUGAUGGAGACCUCUCAUUGAUCUCCAAUGAUGAGGAGAGACUUCAUCCAUCUGUUGAGGCUGAAUUUGAGAUGAUGAUGAAUGACAUCAUGAUGCCUGCCUCUCGUCUGUCCAGAGGCAGGCAAAAGAUCUCUGCGUUUUUUCACGCUUUGCUUGAAAGCAAGAAUCAAAGAGUCUUGGAGUCUAUUACUCCGUCACCCGCAAAUGGCAUUCCCAUGGCAUCGGCCUCUGAUCCAGCAGUAAUUGAUAACCUUGGGGAGUCAAGCGAGAGCGUGGAAAGAAGGGGCGAAAACAAGACUGUAAAUUGGACUCUAGAGUCGUUUGGAGCUGAUGACCCUCUGAAUCGUACUGAAGAGGUUUCUUUGAAGAAGAACCAUUCAACCAUUAUGCAUUUUACAGUUUUGCGGGGUACAGGGCUUUUAACCAGUGAUCUUGGUAAAAAUCCAAGAAAUGGAUCUGAGCAUUAGCCAAAAGACCAGAAGAAUCAGCUUUCACAAAGUUCACUGAUCCUUAAUACUCCAUUACAAGUGAAAUCAACCAGCCAAGUAAUAGUUAAUAAAAUGGCAGAAAGCAGCAAAACCCUAGGACCAAUGAACCAACAUCAUUCAGGGUGUCACUAAAGCACCAAGACUCAAUGUUUUAUUCUCCUCUUCAGAGUGAUCCCUGCUAAGAUUCCAGACGCAACCACGCUGAAUUAUUUUUCAAACAUGGUAACUGCUGCUGGCAAAAUACACGUGACAAAACAAUUUGUGGCCUCCUGGUUGAUAUCUGACUCCGUGCAAAGAAUUGUCUCAGCAAGGGACAGGCUAAAAAGCAAAUCGAUUUUUCACACCAAAUCAAGUAAAGAGCGUCAAAUUUAACCAACACUCCAAACCUCACCAACAAACUUCCUUCAUCGUCAGAAUAAAAGUGACUUUUCUUUGGCUGUUCAAACAUUUGAAUCUUUUCUAAAACCUUCCCAUCUUCGUAUACCAAAGGAAGCCAAAACAUCUAAUAUUUCUGUGAUGAAGAAACGUAACAGAAUGGAUCAUUUUCCAGUUUGGCUAAGUGAAUUGAUGGCCUUUAGUACUGCCUCGUUAACCAAUGCUAAGAAAUCAACUACAGCAAGUAAUAAACCAGUGUUCAUAAAACAGACUCAAAGUUUACUUGCGGCUCCCUGGACCAUUUUACGUCAAGGAGAUACUUCAAAACACCUCAAUCAGUUUGACGAAUUAUCUACAGCGGCGCCUCUUCUGCCUCUGACAAAGAAUGUGUUUUAUGUCUUCAAAGUGAACGUUCAUCAGCCUCGGCAGCCUCUAAAUAAUUUUCCCUCAGAGAGAUAAAAGCCUUUGUAUCAGUUCAAGCUCCUGAAUCGAUUCCCACUUUGUUUACAUAUACAAAUGUGAAGAGAUUCACAAAUAUAGAAGACUUUUCUAAAUUUGACUCUACAAACCAUAACCAAGAGCACGGUGCAUCACAAAAAGCACCAUCCAUCAUAUCCAAGAGGCCAAACAUGAACUCAAGCAGAUUAACAAGACACAAAAUAGUAAAUACAGCCACAGUCAACUAAAGCAUGUCACAAUUUAGCAUUCCCCAACACAUCAAACUUCUAACAGCUACAUAUCCACAAUAAAGACCUUCAUUACAACAAAUAAAAAUCCCAGGUGCCUUUUGCCAAUAUCUCCUUGUUCUCUCAUGCAGUUCAACAAAAGAAGUCCUUGCUGCUGCCAACAACUUUCUGUAAGUCACAAAAUACAGUGACAACAGAUGGCAGAGUUCUUAAAAAACUUUUGUCUAUUUCUAAGAAAAGUAUUAGUGAGAACGCCUUAUUAAAUCACUUGACGACAACUGGAAAGAUUGGUUUGCCAUUAGACAACAAACAACAAUUUCUUAUAAACUCGAGAGGGACUGAGAUUUAUUUUUUAUUUUUUUGCAGCUAUACAGUUAGCAGUAUCCCAUCAGUCCAGCAGCUCGUUGAAGAUCAGGAAUUCCUCACAGAAACACCACAAUCAACAUCUGGACUUCAGAUUGAGUCAUACUUAAAGAAGAGAGAUGGCACAGUUAAACCAACAUCUCUGAAACACCAUGAUCAGAGAAGUCAUUCAGUUGUAGGCAUGAAUCAUACCUCGUUCAUGUCAAUUUAAAAAAAGAUUUGUUUCAAUCCCAAAUCACACUACUGUUUCCCCUGUUGCUCUCUUAAAUACAGAGUUUAAAAUACAUUUGACCUGUCAUUAUCUAUUGAGUGAACACUGACACAGAAAAUUGGACUUGACAUCCACAAAGAUUCACUGCAUAUGUUUGUUAAUGUAUCAGAUGUUAAAUUGCAUCCUUGGAACAUGAGAUCCAGCCCAAUUUCUGGCAUCAGUAGGCACACAACAGCUGCAGCACGACCAGAAGGGACCAAGUCAUUCACUGGAACAACUUCAGCAACUUUCAUUUAGCAUCUUAUUCAAAUGCAGAAUGUGUUGCAUAAAGAGCAUGUGACCUUAACUGAAAACUAGACUGAAUUUUUCUCAACUCUAAAUGAGCAUUCACGAACGACACAAUCAAACUUUCCUUCUGAUGAAAUGUCCAGCCCAGGCGCAGCAGAAGAUGUACAAAAACACCUUGGGCGGACUGCGCAGCCUGCUGUUACUGGGAAAAAGUUCUCUCCUGUUGUCCACACAGAUUUGAGUUUCUGAAGUACAGAGACACAAUCGCUCCCCAAAGGUUCAUUACAGUCCAGGGAAGGGAGUGAAGAUAUUUCUCAUGGUACCACUCCAUUUGUUGAAAGUGACUCAGGGGUAUCUGCUGGGUUUGUGUCAGACCUGCCAGAGAUAAACAAGAAGAGGAGGCUUAUAUCACCCGAUUCUCCCAGCGGUCCGGCGCAAAUCUCAGAUGAUAUCUGCGGCACUGGCAAGUACACAACAGAGAUGAGUCUCUGAACUUGGAGAGAGAUAUCAUGCCUGGAGAUCUCAUCCCUGCCCUCGGAAAUCUACGUGUCGUCAUCAGCCUGAAAACAAAUAACAGCCAGGUGAACCUAGAGAUAAAAUCCUGCUGCCUCUCUCCCACCGCCAGACUUGAUGAAUUUAACACCACCUGCUGCAUUUUUUGCAGGCUGCCUAUAGACCCUCAUGACAUUAGACUACUUCCUAGCAUCCUGUCAAAGAGGGCCAGCUUCGCCAUCAGUCUUUUUCCAGAUGAUCAAUUACGCCACGGCUUACCUGCACUGUGACCUGAGCGUGUGUUUGAGGAACCAUUCACAGUGCGAGAAGAGACUGCUCGGUUGACUGGAGUCCUUAGCGAAGUCCUAAAAAUCCCAGACAUGAAUGCAAAGGGUGAGAUAAGAAAGUGUCUGCCUGAACAGGUAUGGAAUGUAAGUGACUCUUCUAGUGCAUCUUUAGACCACGUCAUAUAGUCAUCACAUAAGGUGUUAGUUUGAGUAAUACUUAGGGAUCUGUGAACACAUUUUCUUAUCUAACUUUGGGAAGGAAACCUUGCAGAAUGUUAAGGAAUGAUUUAAACGAGAUAAUUCAUCAUUUUUGAAUGUCAUAAACACUUGUAAUUGAACCAUUUGGUUUAAAAUCCAU